UUAAGACUUCUCUUAUUAAUAGUGUCUUAAGGUGGGAUGUCAAGGUUUUGGGGCUUAGUUUGGAGUUGGAGAGGAAGGGAAAGAAAAUGGACAACUCACCAAGGAGGUGGUGGACAUGGAUGCGGUGCAAUAAAACUAAAGUAUAUAUUCUAAGUAUAUAAGUUGAGCCCAGUUGUUGUUAUACUGUAUCGGAUAGCGCAUCCUCCUAGCUCGAAGAGAAAGCCAAGUCAUCCUCCAAAGGCUGCUCCUGCUGGUGGUCCGGCUGCUGUUGCUGUGGUGGCAGCUGAAGCUUCAAGUGGUGACUCUUGUUCAUUGCUGUCUCUGAUCCUGCCACUGCUGUGACUGCAUUGCGGCCGGCACCCAUGGUUGUGCCUGCUAUUCAUCACAACCAGGAGAAUUUAAAAGAGCAUUUGGAGAAUACCAAUAUGACUGAUUUCAGCUGCUGUUUGCAGUUUUUGCAGGUUUGAUAUUUACUUCUAAAUGAUGCAU